ACAACGGCUGUGUUCAGCCGAAAAGGGGGCGGGGCUACGUGCCGAUGAGGGGGGCGGGGCUACACGGGACAAGAGCCAGACUGCUACAGAUCCAUUCUUCCUGCCACUGCCAGCCAGAUCAAUACAGUUUCCAGCCAGAGUGAGCUACAACGUCCAUACCGCAUGUCGAAGGUGGAUCCCAUGAAGGAGGGUUUCAGGGUUUCGGAUGCUGUGGCCACGGUAUAGGGAGGUAGUGCACUCUGCUCGUCCCAGUAUUUGUCUUUUACCAUAGGUGGCAGGUUUUGGUACAUGUCAUCCACAGAUAAGAAAGAUACCUAUUAGAAGAGAGCAAAGAAUAAAAUACAGACAGUGCCGAUAUCCCUUCCCUCUCAGGACACUUGUAAUACAGACAGUACCAAUGCCCCUUCACACUCAGGAUUAUUGUUAUACAGACAGUCCCGGUGUCCCAUCACUCUCAGGACACACGUACUACAGAUAGUCCCGAUGUCCCUUCACUCUCAGGACACAUGUACUACAGAUAGUCCCGAUGUCCCUUCACUCUCAGGACAUGUGUGAUACAGACAGUCCUGAUGUACCCUCACUACCAGGACACAUGUAAUGCAGGCAGUCUCAGAGUCCCCUCACUUUCAGGACACGUAAUACAGACAGUCCCGAUGUUCCCUUAUAAUCAGGACACAUGUAAUACAGACAGUCCUGGUGUUCCCUUAUACUCAGGACACAUGUAAUACAGACAGUCCUGGUGUUCCCUUAUACUCAGGACACAUGUAAUACAGACAGUCCUGGUGUUCCUCACUCUCAGAUCACCGUUGAAAAAACUUUGAACAACAUCAACAAAGAUGGCUAGGAAUGAGAGAUGCACAAACAAAAUUCUUAAAACUGUGCAAAUGCUAGGAGCUUAGAACACAAAAUUCCAGAGCUAAUUGCAAUAGUGAUUAGGGAUGAUCUGGAUAUUGUGGCUAUUACGGAGUCAUGGUGCAAUGAGAAUCAUGCCUGGGACAUAGCUAUACCAGGAUACACUUUAUUUAGAAAGGAUAGAGUGGGCAAAAUUAGAAGAGGGGUAGCAAUGUAUGUGGAAAAAAAAGCAUAAAUGCUGCUUUAAUACAAAAUAUUUAAGAAAAAAAUGAGGCCCUUUUGGUGACCAUAGUAACAGAGGAGAAGGACAUUAAUAGCACUUGGGUGAUCUAUAGACCUAAUGUAAACUGGAAGGGGUCUUUCGCAGGUUCAACUAGAAGUGGCAAAUGUUCAUAGGAUGGGUGGGACACCUCAUGGACACCUGUGAGAGUCAAAAUUUAUGGCAAUCUAUAAUUUGUGAAUAAAAUCCCGGAAAUAA